UCCCUGAUGGUCUAGUGGUCAGGAUUCGGCGCUGUCACCGCUGAGACCUGGGUUUGAUUCCUGGGCAGGGAA
rnacentral:tRNA from 1 species